CUUCUAAUUACUUCAGCAACGCUUGGAUGUCGAACCUUUACAGCCACUACAAUGGGCUCAAUCUCCUGACCAGGAUAUCUAUAUUUUAAAGUAGCUCGAUGAACUUGGGCAACACUUCCAGAUGCUAUAGGUUCCUCUUCAAAGUCUGCAAAAAUUUCAGGCAGCCUACGUCCAAAGGCUCUUUCAAUAGUCAUUCUGGUGAAGGUAAAACUAUGUGCUGGUGCUUUAGCAUGGAGUCUUGCAAGUUCUCUGCACAGAUCUUGGGGAAAAAGAUCUGGUCUUGUUGCAGCCCAUUGACCCCAUUUAAUAAAAGCUGGUCCUGCUUUUUCAAGUGUAAGACGAACAACACAAAGCCAUGUGUUUCUAAACUUAUGACUGAGAGAAUCUGCAAAUGGAGCCAUAACUAUGCAGGGCAAGAACAAAAUCGCCAAAUAAACAGCUCUGAGUAACAAAAUUAUGCCCUCAAGAAGUGAUAGCAGUAAUGCAUUCAAAUAACCAUGGCCAUCUUGUGUUUGUGUGUACAUAGCACCCCUUGUCCUUAAACUUUCUGCUUCUACCCAUGUUCGUUGAGUCCAAGCAAGCUGUCCAAUUAUGAAGGCAAUAACACGAGGAGCCAACAAAUUUGAUCGUGUCAAUGCUAGGCUCACUGCACAGGCUAUUCUACUUACUGGGGGUAAAGUUGGUUUAUUGUAAAACCAAAUUUGGGAAAAUCUCU
rnacentral:misc_RNA from 1 species